UCCUGGGAAGAUUGACGAAUUGAGGGCUCUUUCUCUAUCGGUGGAUGGUAUGCACGUCCGUUCUUAGUUUGGGGAUGCGAUUUGUCUGGUUAACUCCGAUACCGCACGAUACUCUAGCCUAUUAAACAGGUGCGUGGUUCUCUGCACCUUGCGCCUUUCUCAGAGGGACAAGCGGCUCCUAGCCGCACGAAACAGAGCAGAAACAGGUCUGUGAUGCCCUUAUAU
rnacentral:rRNA from 1 species